AGUGCCUUUGGUUCUUUAGGGCAUAGAACUUAACAUUAUAUGCGGAAUAUAUCUUUUAGCAUUAUUGAGCUUCUUGCAAAAGUAGGCCAUGCAUGGAUGUUCUUCCUAGCUAAGGUCUUCGAUCAAUAUGAGAGGCGUCACAAGAAAACUUGUACACCUUGUAGAAGUCCAAUAGUCACAAGACCGAUACUUCAGUCAUCCACUAC
rnacentral:lncRNA from 1 species